AGCGAACGCUGGCGGCAGGCCUAACACAUGCAAGUCGAACGAACCUUUCGGGGUUAGUGGCGGACGGGUGAGUAACACGUGGGAACGUGCCUUUAGGUUCGGAAUAACUCAGGGAAACUUGUGCUAAUACCGAAUGUGCCCUUCGGGGGAAAGAUUUAUCGCCUUUAGAGCGGCCCGCGUCUGAUUAGCUAGUUGGGUGAGGUAAUGGCUCACCAAGGCGACGAUCAGUAGCUGGUCUGGGGGGAUGAUCCGCCACUGUGGGACUGCGACAGGGCCCAAACUCCCGGGGGGCGCCAGUGGGGAAAGUCUGGCGCAGGGGGAAAGCGCGAGGCGCACCCGCCCCGGGAAUGUGAAAGUGUUUUGAGUAUUGUAAAUUUUUUACACGGGGGGUGAUGAGGGUGGUCCGCAGAGAAGCCCCCGCUUACCACUUC
rnacentral:rRNA from 1 species